rnacentral:rRNA from 1 species
AACGAACGCUGGCGGCAGGCCUAACACAUGCAAGUCGAGCGAGACCUUCGGGUCUAGCGGCGGACGGGUUAGUAACGCGUGGGAACGUGCCCUUCUCUGCGGAAUAGCCACUGGAAACGGUGAGUAAUACCGCAUACGCCCUUCGGGGGAAAGAUUUAUCGGAGAAGGAUCGGCCCGCGUUAGAUUAGAUAGUUGGUGGGUAACGGCCUACCAAGUCUACGAUCUAUAGCUGGUUUUAGAGGAUGAUCAGCAACACUGGGACUGAGACACGGCCCAGACUCCUACGGGAGGCAGCAGUGGGGAAUCUUAGACAAUGGGCGCAAGCCUGAUCUAGCCAUGCCGCGUGUGUGAUGAAGGUCUUAGGAUCGUAAAGCACUUUCGCCAGGGAUGAUAAUGACAGUACCUGGUAAAGAAACCCCGGCCAACUCCGUG